AAAUUACGAGUUGUUUUCUUAAAAUACAUUGGAGUGAUCAAUAUUUCAACUAAUUGCCGAACAGAAAGCUCUACAAGCAGACUCAAUGGUUUUGAAAUCGUAAUAAGAAACAGGCACAUUCCUUCGAAAUAAGUAGUGCUGGCACAACAUUUUAAUCGAUGUCGUAAAGUUUUGCGAAUACAAUGCAAACGUGUCGAUCUCGUUCCGAUCGAGUGAGCGACUUAAACUGUUGCUUCAUCCAAAUAUCAAUUACUGAUAUCAUGCCGAUCAAUAAUCCAGCGACGCAGGAAAUAUCGCCUCAGCUUGUAUACGUAAAAAUUGCUUGCACCGUGUGCGCAAAGGAAAAUACAAUAUGCUAGUUGAACAGUGGUAUCUAUAGACAAGUAUUUAAUUGAAAACUUCCUAUAUUGACCAAGCACAUUAGACCUUAUCGACUAAUUUAUGCAUACAUGCCAAUGUAUCAAAAUCGUUAAUCUUUCUAACCUCAAAUGUGGUUACUCAUCCCAAAGAAUAAACAAUUUAUGACUUGGAUACGAAGAUAGGCAAAUGUGCAGUUCAAUAAAUAAUAACAAA